rnacentral:rRNA from 1 species
UACGUAGGGGGCAAGCGUUAUCCGGAUUUACUGGGUGUAAAGGGAGCGUAGACGGAAUGUCAAGUCUGAAGUGAAAUCCCCGGGCUUAACCCGGGAACUGCUUUGGAAACUGGUAUUCUUGAGUGUCGGAGAGGUAAGCGGAAUUCCUGGUGUAGUAGUGAAAUGCGUAGAUAUCAGGAAGAACACCGGAGGCGAAGGCGGCUUACUGGACGAUAACUGACGUUGAGGCUCGAAAGCGUGGGGAGCAAACAGG